AGUGAACGCUGGCGGUAGGCCUAACACAUGCAAGUCAAACGGCAGCACAGGAGAGCUUGCUCUCUGGGUGGCGAGUGGCGGACGGGUGAGGAAUACAUCGGAAUCUACUCUGUCGUGGGGGAUAACGUAGGGAAACUUACGCUAAUACCGCAUACGACCUACGGGUGAAAGCAGGGGACCUUCGGGCCUUGUGCGAUUGAAUGAGCCGAUGUCGGAUUAGCUAGUUGGCGGGGUAAAGGCCCACCAAGGCGACGAUCCGUAGCUGGUCUGAGAGGAUGAUCACCCACACUGGAACUGAGACACGGUCCAGACUCCUACGGGAGGCAGCAGUGGGGAAUAUUGGACAAUGGGCGCAAGCCUGAUCCAGCCAUACCGCGUGGAUGAAGAAGGCCUUCGGGUUGUAAAGCCCUUUUGUUGGGAAAGAAAUCCAGCUGGCUAAUACCCGGUUGGGAUGACGGUACCCAAAGAAUAAGCACCGGCUAACUUCGUGCCAGCAGCCGCAGUAA
rnacentral:rRNA from 1 species